CUCCGGUCCCUACAUGGUGACAUCAUGUAGGCAUAGAGUAUGCGUUAGUACGUUUGAAUGUACUAAGUAUAUGGGAUGCAAUGCAAUGCAACAAGGGAUGGACAUCAUAGGCAAAAUGCAUAAUCGUACCCGAUAGAUAGCAUAUUAAUGAGAUGAUAUGUAUAAUGAUGCUUAUAUAAAAAUCAUAUUUAGUAGGGCAUAGUAUAUGUGUAGUGAGUGACCAUCAAUAUAGUAUUUCCAAGGCCUACCACCCCCUUGGAGAGGCGAAAGAGGUACAAACCCCUCAAUGUGGUUACCCGGGCCUACCACCCCCCGAGCUAGGGACCAAGGUACAAACCCCUCGAUAUGGUUAUACGGGCCUACUACCCCC
rnacentral:lncRNA from 1 species